rnacentral:misc_RNA from 1 species
UGGUUCUGGCAUCGAUGAAGAACGCAGCGAAAUGCGAUAAGUAGUGUGAAUUGCAGAAUUCAGUGAAUCAUCGAAUCUUUGAACGCACAUUGCGCCCUUCGGUAUUCCGUUGGGCAUGCCUGUUCGAGCGUCAUUAAAACCUUCAAGCUCAGCUUGGUGUUGGGUGCUUGUCCCCGCCCACGGCGGACUCACCUUAAAUGCAUUGGCGGCCGGUAUGUUGGCUACAGCGCAGUACAACGCGUCUGGCGUCUUGAUAUACUGGUCCUCCAGAAGCCUCUUUUUUAACCUUGACCUCGGAUCAGGUAGGGAUACCCGCUGA